AUGCCUCCCAUAUUGCCAUGUCAGCCGCUAACCUUUUCACCCUUCCUAGCAAACCGUUGCUUGGCUAUGUUACCGCUUUGCUCAGCCCCUCUUAUAGCAUUGUUAGUUGCAGGUGAAGUUGAAGAUUGCUCCACGAUGGACAGGAUUAUUUUGGGAUAUCACAAUAUCUCUUAUUUAUUUAAUGCAUCUAUAUACUUGGUAAAGGGUGGAAGACUCGGCCUUAUGCCUGGUGUUUUGUUCCACUCUUGCCACCCUAGUUUCCGUCAUACCGGUGUUAUGUUCCCGGAUUUUGCGUUCCUUACGCGGUUGGGUGAUUUAUGGGACCCCCUUGAUAGUUCGCUUUGA
rnacentral:rRNA from 1 species